GCUGUGAUGGCCGAGUGGUUAAGGCGUUGGACUCGAAAUCUAAUGGGGUCUCCCCGCGCAGUUUCGAACCCUGCUCGCAGUG
rnacentral:tRNA from 1 species